rnacentral:rRNA from 1 species
UGCCUACGGGGGGCAGCAGUGGGGGAUAUUGCACAAUGGGGGAAACCCUGAUGCAGCGACGCCGCGUGGGCGAAGAAGUAUUUCGGUAUGUAAAGCCCUAUCAGCAGGGAAGAAGAGAUGACGGUACCUGAGUAAGAAGCACCGGCUAAAUACGUGCCAGCAGCCGCGGUAAUACGUAGGGGGCAAGCGUUAUCCGGAUUUACUGGGUGUAAAGGGAGCGUAGACGGCAGAGCAAGUCUGAAGUGAAAGCCCGCGGCCCAACUGCGGGACUGCUUUGGAAACUGCCCGGCUAGAGUGCUGGAGAG